GACGAACGCUGGCGGCGCGCUUAAUACAUGCAAGUCGAGCGAGAACCAGGGCUUCGGCCCUGGGGACAGCGGCGAACGGGUGAGUAACACGUGGGUAAUCAACCCCCGACACCGGGAUAGCCCAGGGAAACUUGGAUUAAUACCGGAUGCCCCAUCUGGCUUUCGAGCCGGCUGGAAAAGGGUAGCUUCGGCCUCCGGUCGGGGACGAGCCCGCGGCGGAUUAGCUUGUUGGUGAGGUAAAGGCCCGCCAAGGCGACGAUCCGUAGCUGGGCUGAGCGGACGCUCAGCCACACGGGGGCUGAGACACGGCCCAGCCGCCUACGGGGGGCAGCAGUAGGGAAUCUUGCGCAAUGGGCGAAAGCCUGACGCAGCGACGCCGCGUGAGGGAAGAAGGCCUUCGGGUUGUAAACCUCUUUCAGGAGGGACGAAGCCACUCGGGUUAAUAGCCUAGAGGGUGACGGUACCUCCAGAAGAAGCCCCGGCUAACUACGUGCCAGCCGCCGCCGUAC
rnacentral:rRNA from 1 species